rnacentral:rRNA from 1 species
AUGAUGAUGUUUGGUGUUGAUCUCAACAUGAGUCCUCGGCAAGAUGAUGAUUGGGAACUUGAAGAACCAGAAGAACAAGAAGAACCAGAUUUAAAUUGGCUUCCUCAAGAAGAACAAGAACAAGAUAUGAAUUGGACUCCUCAAGAAGAACUAGAUUUACAUUUCAUUCCUCAAGAACAAGUAUCAGAUCUGAAUUGGAAUCCUCAAGAAGAACAAGUGCCAGAUCUGAAUUUGUUUCCUCAAGAAGAACAAGAUAUGAAUUGGACUCCUCAAGAAGAACAAGAAGAACCAGAUUUACAUUUCAUUCCUCAAGAACAAGUAUCAGAUCUGAAUUGGAAUCCUCAAGAAGAACAAGUGCCAGAUCUGAAUUUGUUUCCUCAAGAAGAAGAAGUACAACUUGAAGGUGCUCAGCAUCCAAAAAGCAGAGAACUGACAAAUAAGGAGAGAUUUGGUGUUUAUUUUGCUCUCAAAGUAAUCAAGAACAAAGAUGGACAAGUAGUGAAAACAGACAAGAAGCUCGUUGCCGACGUACUGAAAACAAGCCUAAGCACUGUUAGCAGAAUAUGA